rnacentral:rRNA from 1 species
UAGCGGCAGGCUUAACACAUGCAAGUCGAGGGGUAACAUUGUAGCUUGCUACAGAUGACGACCGGCGCACGGGUGCGUAACGCGUAUAGAACCUACCUUUUACUGGAGAAUAGCCUUUAGAAAUGAAGAUUAAUGCUCCAUGGUAUUGAGACUUGGCAUCAAGUUUUAAUUAAAGAUUUAUUGGUAAAAGAUGGCUAUGCGUCCUAUUAGUUAGAUGGUAAGGUAACGGCUUACCAUGACAUCGAUAGGUAGGGGUCCUGAGAGGGAGAUCCCCCACACUGGUACUGAGACACGGACCAGACUCCUACGGGAGGCAGCAGUGAGGAAUAUUGGGCAAUGGAGGCAACUCUGACCCAGCCAUGCCGCGUGCAGGAAGACGGCCCUAUGGGUUGUAAACUGCUUUUAUACAGGAAGAAACACUGGUAUGUAUACCAGCUUGACGGUACUGUAAGAAUAAGGACCGGCUAACUCCGUGCCAGCAGCCGCGGUAAUACGGAGGGUCCGAGCGUUAUCCGGAAUCAUUGGGUUUAAAGGGUCCGCAGGCGGUCAAUUAAGUCAGAGGUGAAAUCCCAUAGCUCAACUAUGGAACUGCCUUUGAUACUGGUUGACUUGAGUCAUAUGGAAGUAGAUAGAAUGUGUAGUGUAGCGGUGAAAUGCAUAGAUAUUACACAGAAUACCGAUUGCGAAGGCAGUCUACUACGUAUGUACUGACGCUGAGGGACGAAAGCGUGGGGAGCGAACAGGAUUAGAUACCCUGGUAGUCCACGCCGUAAACGAUGGAUACUAGUUGUUUGGCAUUAGCUAAGUGACUAAGCGAAAGUGAUAA